UAAGUGUGACAUCAUCAGAGAAGACAGCCAGAGACAUUAGGCGGCCGUGCAAGCUGGCAUUCAGCGGACUGUCUGCAUGGAAACGAAUGGGAGCCACGAGCUAGGUAACAGCUCAACUCACUGCCACUGCCGCCGGUCACCUGGUAGUGCUGAACAUUGCCACAGACGCCAGAACACUUCCUGGUGCAGUGGCCGCGCAUCCACUGCCAUCGUGCUGCACUGCGCCCUCCACUCCUUGCCCAGAGUGAGUCACCACCUUGGCCUGCCCAGCUUGCUGGCGGCUCUCUGCUACCAGCAUCUUCGGGUCACUAGAGGCUGUGGCACCACAGUCUGCACGGCCCCAUCAAAUCCCCAACAACAAGACAACCCCCUGCAGGAGUGGCGCCCCUGAGACAUUCAGUGUGAGGUCCAAGUGGCACCAUCACUCCUCACUGCCUCACCACCUUCAGGACCUCCUACACAAGUGAGUUGGUCGCUGACUCUUCAUAACGUGGACUCUCGGCCUCAUAUUUUCUCUCCAAGGCGUGAUCCCUCCUCCUUCAAUGAGGGAAUCUGCUAAGUAGAAGAAACGUCUUGUGUGAAACAAAUCACCUUUUUUUAAUCCUAAAAGAUUUUUUCACUUGCCCAUUUCUUGUACACAAACCCUCCUAGCCUCCUCUCUUCAUGCUCGUUGUCAGCAAGGAACAAGGACACAUGGAACAGUGGGGGUACCGCAGGUCACCAGGAUUGCCAUAGCAACACCAACUGCGGUUUUUGAAAUGCAAGCAAGUUUUUACCAGCCAUACUGGCCAACAUCAGGCAUCAUUUUGACCCAGAAUGUCUUAACCAGGCUAUGGCAGAUUACCUGUUCUUUAAAUGUAACAACCAUUAAACAAGAAUAACCCAUG